rnacentral:rRNA from 1 species
UGGGGAAUAUUGGACAAUGGGCGAAAGCCUGAUCCAGCCAUGCCGCGUGUGUGAAGAAGGUCUUCGGAUUGUAAAGCACUUUAAGUUGGGAGGAAGGGCAGUAAGCGAAUACCUUGCUGUUUUGACGUUACCGACAGAAUAAGCACCGGCUAACUCUGUGCCAGCAGCUGCGGAAAUACUGAGGGUGCAAGCGUUAAUCGGAAUUACUGGGCGUAAAGCACACGUAGGUGGUUCGUUAAGUUGAAUGUGAAAGCCCCGGGCUCAACCUGGGAAGUGCAUCCACAACUGGCGAGCUAGAGGAGGACAGAGGGUGGUGGAAUUUCCUGUGUAGCGGUGAAAUGCGUAGUUAUAGGUAGGAACACCAGUGGCGAAGGCGACCACCUGGGCUCAUACUGACACUGAGGUGCGAAAGCGUGGGGAGUAAACAGG